GUGGGGAAUUUUGGACAAUGGGCGCAAGCCUGAUCCAGCAAUGCCGCGUGCAGGAAGAAGGCCUUCGGGUUGUAAACUGCUUUUGUACGGAACGAAACGGCUCUGGUUAAUACCCGGGGCUAAUGACGGUACCGUAAGAAUAAGCACCGGCUAACUACGUGCCAGCAGCCGCGGUAAUACGUAGGGUGCAAGCGUUAAUCGGAAUUACUGGGCGUAACGCGUGCGCAGGCGGUUGUGUAAGACAGGCGUGAAAUCCCCGGGCUCAACCUGGGAAUUGCGCUUGUGACUGCACAGCUGGAGUGCGGCAGAGGGGGAUGGAAUUCCGCGUGUAGCAGUGAAAUGCGUAGAUAUGCGGAGGAACACCGAUGGCGAAGGCAAUCCCCUGGGCCUGCACUGACGCUCAUGCACGAAAGCGUGGGGAGCAAACAGGAUUAGAUACCCCGGUAGUCC
rnacentral:rRNA from 1 species